rnacentral:lncRNA from 1 species
GUCUCUGCAUUUGCAGAUAACCGACGAUCGACUCACAUUUUCCGGCUACUUUAUCUUCAGAGUUUAAAUGGUUGAUCAACGUCUUCUCAAGAGCUGUGUCAUUUAAUUUUUACUUCAUUUUUCGCAUUCAUUAGGGGAGAGUGUGAAUAUUUCUACAGCACAAUAGAAGGAGACUAUCUAGUUAGGAGUUAGACUAGGAAUAUCAUUGGUCAUCUAUUGAUGCAGGCCUUUACCUUCUAGUGGUACUAUACCAGCCAUCUAUUUUGUAUCCUGUAUUUCAUAUCUCUUAUAUAUUGUUGUUAUUUUUAUUACGCAUUUUUAUGGUACUAAUAUAUCAUCUCCUAUUGCUUUUUUGAGCCGAAGGUCUCCUGGAAACAGCCUAUCUACCCUUCGGGGUAGGGGUAAGGUCUGCGUACAUAUUACCCUCCCCAGACCCCACUUGUGGGAUUACACUGGGUCGUUGUUGUUGUUGUUGUUUUCGCAUUGAACCGUUUGUCAUCCGAAAUUCGCUGAUUUUUAUUCUUUCUUUUCUUCACCUUUCAAUUGGUAUAGGGUUGCAUGAGGUUGAAAAUCCAGUUAAGAGGUAAUUUGUACUACCUUCUCCUGUUUUAUUCAUGUAAUUAAACUGUUCUUAUUUUGAAUCGUCUAUUUUUAGUUUGAUUUUAGGAACAAAAUACACUAAAGAUAGAAGUGAAUCGAAGCAGACAUUAUAUCUAUAUAUUAUGCAUUUGCUUUCUUCAUAAACUAAUACAUGAAUUCACAACUUAUGCUUUCACAUUUAGUGGAGAACUUGUGAUGUUAUUGAGUAUUGGCUGCAAAUUUGUUCUCACUGUAGCUUCAAGUUCUUCAGAAGCCUGUUCAAUACGAAAUAGGCAUGUAAAAAAAUUGAUCAAUGAUGAGGAAAUAACCAUUGUUUAUUUGUCUGAGAAACAAAUACUAUUUUGCUUAUAAAGAAAGUUUGAAAUUCAGCAAAACAUUAUCAAUUUGAGUUCAGAGAUUCGUCCAACUUUAUCAGAAGUAACUCUUAAUAGUCCUCUUUUUGCUUAUAUUCUUAGUGCUGCUGACACAGAGGGGUUUUUCUUUCAAGUGUAAGUGCUGCUGAAAUUAUCUUCUUGAUAAGUGACUAAUUGGGAUUGCUGAAGGGUUAUUGAGGAAUGUGAGGAGCUCAUAAAAUAUUUGUUGCAUCAUGUGAUGAUAUGUAUGAUCAGCACUAGAAACAAUUGUUAAACAAUUGUAUUUUGUAUAAUGAGGUGGUAGGGGAUCGAGAUGUAGGACUUGUGCACGUGAUCUAAACAAGUAGGAUUAUAUUUCAUUAUUUAGAAGCUUAAUUAAUAGGUAAAUGUGCAGACAUCUCUGGAACUUUCCACUUGCAAAAAGUUGAAGCUUUAAGCAUUUAUUCUUUAGAAUAUAGGGGUCAAUUAUUUUUUUUAUUUUUUUUGUAUAGCAAGGAGAGUGACUAGCCUUUGACUUAAAGUUACUAAAAAUGGAAAGGUGGUUAAUAAGCAGUACCAGAAAUAGGAGAAUAACAACAUAUGGAAUCUAUACAGGGUAUGUCAAUUAUCAAAGUUACCAAGUUUUACAUACUUUGUUUUGUUAACAAGCUUAAAAGAUAACGUUUUGAUGGUGUUUUCUUAAAUCAUUCGUUGUGAAAAUUAAUGAUUGGCAGAUAUAACAAAAUGCUUAGCCUUAAAAAUACAGAAUGUAUCAUUGACUUUUAUGUAGAUGAAAAGAUUAGUUUGGCUGUGUGGAGAGUAGAGAUUUGCUAUACCUUUGUUCAUUGGCAUAACCUCUGCUAUUGCUUCCAACGGCUUUGUAAUUGGGCAAAGGUACUUGGCCAUUUUCAAUUUGCAUGAUAUCCUUCAAAAGCAACUCAUAAUGUCUCCUCACUUCCUCUGCUGAUUUUCCACCUACACACCUGGCAAUGUUAUGCCAGCGGUCAGGAGUUUCCUUGUCAAAUAAAGCCAACGCCUCCUCAAACUUCUUGUUUUGCCUUGUAGUCCAUGAGGCCAUUAUUGAUUAAUAGGGAUAGAGGGUUGAGAGCUACCUCAGGCAAAGUCAAGUGUUCAAGUGAAUGGUAUGGACAAGAUAAUGCUAAGCUAGCUAGUUCCUUAUAAGCUGGGGGAGUGGUCUUGGUUUCUGGCAAGUUGGCGAAUAUUUCGUUUUCUUUUAGGGAGGUGGAAUACAUGGUUAUUGAAGUAAUGCUAAUGGGAAUAGGUGGAAGGAGAAUAAGGAAAUAGUAUUUGUGACUUUGCUUGCUUUAUUUGGAAAGUAAUGUCAUCAGCAAGUGGAUCAGAUAAGAAAUUCACCCAGCUGGAGGAGAUUAGAUCCCCUAAUUCCAAUUCUAUGGCUAUGAUAGACGCGCCAAUGUUUUAUAAUAUUUAGGCUGAAAAAUAAUUAUCAAGAUAUUUUGCCAGCUUCUAGGUUGCAAAAUGUUGCUUAAAUUCUGCAUCAAUUGGUAAACCAUUUGUCAUCCUUCAAUUGUUAUCUGCCAGUCAUUUGUUGACAAUGCGUGCAUUAACCUAAGCAUUGUUGAUCUUUAUGUUUUGAUGAUAACGAAUUAUGAACAAAGUGAAAAGAGCUUAAAAUAACUCAAUUUCAUUGUUCUUUAAGUUUUAUCAUCUUACAUUUGAAUGGUUAUAACUAUUAGGUUGCUUAUAGCUGUAUCAAAUUAUGAUCCCGAGUUGCAAGUUGGAACAGGCAAGUGACUGCUGCUUAUGUUUAUUCUCUCUAGGAAUGGAGUCACCCUGUGCGUAUUUCUAUUACCGCUUCUACAGAAUUCCCUCCUUUUGUUUUUUAAGAUAUGGUGUAGGUAUGCAUUGCUUCUUACUAAUGUUUCUUGUUAUGUUAGUUUCUGCCAUAACGGCCUUUCCAGUUUGGAUCACAUUGAGGCGUUUGUCAUUCUUAGAUGAAUUACUUUUGAGUCAAAGUAAUAGUUCUCAAAAAGACUCUCAAAAUUACCAAAAAGGGAAGAAUUGUCCCUUUUAGACCACUUGCUUUGAGACCUUUUUCACUUGAGAUACUGUCUGCCAACAUGGGAGAGGAGGUGAAGGGACACCUUUUGUCAAAAUACUGCAGUAGGAAUCUAUGUUAUUAUACAACAAAGUAUCUGAUGUUUAAGUAUCUCAUGUAAAUACGGCUGGAGCCUCCUUGUGGUUUUGAAAACAAUGUGUUUCCCCAUAACUCUCUGAGUAUUCUGUUUUCCUCUAAAACCUUGAUUUAAAUGUCCAAAAUAUCCUCCAUUUCUAUGUCAAAAGAUUCUAUAUAAUUGAUUGAACAUUAAGCAACUUAAUCUAAAAGUAGUAUAACCAUAAGGUUCUUAGAUAUAUUUACUUAAAUUAAGUACUAUUAAGUUAUCUAGUGUAAUUGUAUUACUCCUUUUGUUUCAAAAAGGAUGCCACUGUUGCCAAUAGUCUGUUUGGAAAAGAACGAAACCUUCUAAAUUUGGAAAUAAUUUAACUUGAAUUUCUCAUUUUACCAUUCAUGACAAGCUUUUACUUGGGAAGAAGAAGAAUUAGAUUUUCUUUUUACAUACAUUUUUAGUGGGAAAGGUGUGCAACCAGUGACGAAGCCCAGGAAUUUUCUCAAGAGUAUUCAAACUUGAAAGAAGUGAAAAUUCUCCGAUGAAGAGUGUUCAAUAUAUGUUAUAUACCUUUAAAACCUAGUAUUUUACCUAUAUACGCAGUGUAAUUUUCUAACGAAGCCUUUAAGACAUGUGGCUUCGCCCUAUGUGCAACACUUAUGUCAGGAGACUAUAUGGAAACAGAAGGGAGCUCUUAGCUUAUUUCUACACCAUAUGUAGGUAAUACGCAAGUUCCAAAACCGCAGAGAGUUCAUGCGCUUUUAUUCUUAUUCAGAACAAUGAACUAAAGUCUACUUACUAUGGAAACUUAUUUACUCGAGAUAUCAAUGUUUGAAUCUGCAAUGAAGUAGAAAUUUGUUUCAAUUCUGGUAGGAAGUAUGUUUAACAGUCAAGACGAAACAAAUCAUGCACAUCUCUAUCGUCCAAGAGAAAGGUCUUAUCUAACACAGAUGAUAUCAGUGACUUCUCAAAAAAUCAGAGGAGCUGAGAUUAGACCUUUCAACAAUUAUUCAGUCGCAUGCUAGUUAUAAAAGCUUGAGGAGUACACUAAGGAUGGAAUCUUUGGAUAUGCCACAAAGAGAAGUAUAUUUUGUUGAAAAAAUCUAUAUAUAGUGUGAUUGAAUCAACAUAGAAAUUUGCCACAAAUAGAAUAAGCAGGUGGUUUUACUUCAUUUUCUUUCCUUUUCUUUUUAUCUUUUUUUUUUUUUGCGGAUGCUGAAAUGUUCCAAAUGAUAAAAAAGAUAGAUGCAGGAGAAGUAUCUUCUCAUCUUAUAUUUAGAUAAGAGACCUUAAAUAAUGCAAGAUUAGUGGUCACUGGUCACUUAAUAUUCUGGAUAUGUUUUCUUCUUUUUUGAGUCAAAUGUGGGCGCUUGCCUGUGCAUAGAUGUGAAUUAGAACAAUUGUCUGUCUAAGGAGAGCGUUUAUAUAACAGUAAUAUGCUCAGCACUUGCAUACUUUUGAUCAAAAUGGAAUUUUCUUGCCUUAUUCUCUUUGCUUUUUUAAGGUCUGAUAAGCAAAUGGCUUGUAAAAGGGGAAUUUCAAAGAGGAAAUUGAGACAUGCAGAAUCAGUAUGUCUUUUUGAGGAAUGUUUUCUAGCUUUCUAGUGGUAUAUUAUUGGAUUCUGGUAUUCAGUGGUUAGAAAUAAAAGAUAACUUCCUAAAAGAUGUCAAAAUUAUUGAAGUUAUUGCUUUCUUUAAUGACCUUAUCCUGGUUUGUGAUAUUUAUAUUGCAAUAUGUGCAGGUUGGUGGUCAUAAAACAUAAGAUCUUUCACUGGUGCCUAGUUCGGGUGAAAUUAAAAAAUAGCCAGAUUUACAAGUGGUAGUUGAAAAAUAGCCACAGUUUCAAAAGUAAUCGAAAUUUAGCCAAUUUUCAUGUAGAGAUAAAUCUGAACGAAAAUACUGUUCAAAAUUCGAAAAAUAUUCCAGCAUAAUAUUUUGGAGUUCGAAUUUUUACAUGUGAACUUCCAGCAUAAUAUACUGGUCCAGCAUAUUACAGGUGUUCCAAUCUCCAGUAUAUUAUGUUGGAACUUUCCGUGUACUGGAGUUCCAGCAUAAUAUGCUGGAAGUUCAUAUAUAGGUGCACCAAUCUCUAGUAUAUUAUGCUGGAGCUUUUCGUGUUGUAGCUAAAUAUUGACUAUUUUUUAAUGACUUCAAUUACCAGUCCGAAAACUGGCUUGCCCAUACUAUUUUCACGCCUAAUUCGUGGUGUAAAUAAGAAGCCCAAGUUUGAUAAGAAUAUGUAUUAUG